GUUAUUCUGUGCCCUUUUUAGGUUUCCAAAACCAGCGUCUGUUCUCCUGCUGGCAUUUACACUACGUUCUUCUUCUUCUUUACUCCCAAGCCAAUACCACAGAAAGGCUGUAAUUGUCCCUAUAUUUUUCUUUGCACCAACUAGUAUAUACCGAUAGCAAUUUUGUGAGUGUUUCUGGUAUUAAACAUUAAGCUGGAAGCUGUAAAAUAAGAGGAAUGGGCCAGGCAUUUCGUCGAGCAUCUGGCAGAAUACGAGCCACCGACCCAUCGCCGACUGCCAAGAGCGUACGGGAACGCAGGCCUCCCGUGGGCACCACCGAAAAGGUGAAUAUCUCAAGGAGAACCGCCCAAUAUAACAAUCAGGACAGUCUUGAUUCUGGUUAGUGCCUAUGUCAUUGCUUGUUCUUUAGACGUCUCAAAUUCUUUAGUCUUUGAGUAAUUUGGAAGUUACAGCUACUUCGGUUUU
rnacentral:misc_RNA from 1 species